rnacentral:rRNA from 1 species
CCUACGGGAGGCAGCAGUGGGGAAUCUUGCGCAAUGGGGGAAACCCUGACGCAGCAACGCCGCGUGGGUGAUGAAGGCCUUCGGGUCGUAAAGCCCUGUCAGGUGGAAAGAAACAUGUCGAUGCGAACACCAUCGGCAUCUGACGGUACCACCGGAGGAAGCACCGGCUAACUCCGUGCCAGCAGCCGCGGUAAUACGGAGGGUGCAAGCGUUGUUCGGAAUUACUGGGCGUAAAGCGCGUGUAGGUGGUUGAGCAAGUCAGAUGUAAAAGCCUUUCGCUUAACGAAAGAAGUGCAUUUGAAACUGCUCGGCUAGAGUACGGGAGAGGAGAGUGGAAUUCCCGGUGUAGAGGUGAAAUUCGUAGGUAUCGGGAGGAACACCAGUGGCGAAGGCGACUCUCUGGUCCGAUACUGACACUGAGACGCGAAAGCGUGGGGAGCAAACAGGAUUAGAUACCCUUGUAGU